rnacentral:rRNA from 1 species
UACGUAGGGGGCAAGCGUUGUCCGGAUUUAUUGGGCGUAAAGAGCGUGUAGGCGGCUUUACAGGUCCGUUGUGAAAACUCGAGGCUCAACCUCGAGACGCCGGUGGAAACCGUAAGGCUAGAGUCCGGAAGAGGAGAGUGGAAUUCCUGGUGUAGCGGUGAAAUGCGCAGAUAUCAGGAAGAACACCCGUGGCUAAGGCGGCUCUCUAGUACGGUACUGACGCUGAGACGCGAAAGCGUGGGGAGCAAACAGG